rnacentral:rRNA from 1 species
CGUGUAGGCGGCUCGAUAAGUCCGCUGUGAAAGCCCGGGGCUCAACCCCGGGAUGCCGGUGGAUACUGUCGAGCUAGAGUCCGGAAGAGGCGAGUGGAAUUCCUGGUGUAGCGGUGAAAUGCGCAGAUAUCAGGAGGAACACCAAUUGCGAAGGCAGCUCGCUGGGACGGUACUGACGCUGGGACGCGGAAGCGUGGGGAGCAAACA